rnacentral:rRNA from 1 species
AUUGAACGCUAGCGGGAUGCUUUACACAUGCAAGUCGAACGAGUGGCGGACGGGUGAGUAAUAUAUCGGAACGUGCCCAGUAGCGGGGGAUCACUACUCGAAAGAGUGUCUAAUCCCGCAUUCUAUUGGAGCGGCCUAUAUCGGAUUAGCUAGUUGGUGGGGUAAAGUCUCACCAAGGCAACGAUCCGUAGGUGGUUUGAGAGGACGACCAGCCACACUGGGACUGAGACACGGCCCAGACUCCUACGGGAGGCAGCAGUGGGGAAUUUUGGACAAUGGGGGAAAGCCUGAUCCAGCCAUCCCGCGUGUAUGAGAAGGCCCUAGGGUUGUAAAGUACUUUCAGUCGGGAGGCGUUACCGACAGAAGAAGCACCGGCUAACUCCGUGCCAGAAGCCGCGGUAAUAC